rnacentral:rRNA from 1 species
AUGCACGCUGGCGGCGUGCCUAAUACAUGCAAGUCGAGCGAACGGACGAGAAGCUUGCUUCUCUGAUGUUAGCGGCGGACGGGUGAGUAACACGUGGAUAACCUACCUAUAAGACUGGGAUAACUUCGGGAAACCGGAGCUAAUACCGGAUAAUAUUUUGAACCGCAUGGUUCAAAAGUGAAAGACGGUCUUGCUGUCACUUAUAGAUGGAUCCGCGCUGCAUUAGCUAGUUGGUAAGGUAACGGCUUACCAAGGCAACGAUGCAUAGCCGACCUGAGAGGGUGAUCGGCCACACUGGAACUGAGACACGGUCCAGACUCCUACGGGAGGCAGCAGUAGGGAAUCUUCCGCAAUGGGCGAAAGCCUGACGGAGCAACGCCGCGUGAGUGAUGAAGGUCUUCGGAUCGUAAAACUCUGUUAUUAGGGAAGAACAUAUGUGUAAGUAACUGUGCACAUCUUGACGGUACCUAAUCAAAAAGCCACGGCUAACUACGUG